rnacentral:misc_RNA from 1 species
AGUCGCUACCGGGCAGUGUGCAUCAGGGAACAUCCUCUCUCGUUUUUCUCUUUAUUAUUAUUAUUAUUUUUUUCGGUUCCGCCGCAACCCCCACCCCCUCAGCACACAUAAAUACAAAGGCACAGCCGCGACUGAAGUGGACGGUGCAAGUCGCACCGACCAUGGACCCCAACGAUGCAGCGCAGCAUCUGCUGCAAAACGAAAAGUUCCUGGAACUCUUUCAGCGAGCACUCUGCAGCGGCGGUGGCAACGGCAAUGGUGGAGGCAUUAGUGACAUGCUCCAGUCUAUGCCCGAGGAGGGCGAUCCAAAGCGAGAGGAGUGGCUGCGCACUCUGCAGUCGCGCCUGCAGGAGGAAGCGACCAAGGAGGCAAAAGAGGACUUGGAGCAGGUGCACAGCGACGAGCAUGGUCAGUGGAUGUUUGUCUUGCCGGACCCAGGGUUCUGUAUCAAGACAAACGUUGCCGGUGGCGCGAAGGUGUUCAUUAACGUGUGCCAGCACGCACGCAUCGGAGAGCCAGUGCCUAUGGCAGCAGAGAAUGGAAACGCUGGUCAGGGUGACACCGCGGAGAUGCGCUACCGCAUCCCGAUCAGCUGCGGCCAAGCGCGGCCCGGCCAGGACAAGGGUGGAAAACCCUGCAAGGUGUACGAUGUCAUCGUCAACCCGUCGACAAUGCAGCGUUGCGGCAAGGAUCACGAGUUCCGCCGCUUUGUGGCCGCACUGUGCAUGCAAUGGAUUAAGCAGAAAUCUGAGCCCACCCUGAACGCCGACGAGUUCCGAAACCUCAACUUUAAGUGUAAAGGCAAGCUUGAGCCGCAGCGCAUUCGUCUCUCGACGCAGCCGAAGGAGCGCAACGCGAUGGGGGACGAGAUCCGCCUGCCGACCGCCGCGGGUAGCGCCACAGCGCCGUCACAGGUGACCGGGUCGCGGGGAAACGGCAAGCUAGUUCAGGAGGUGCUUGCACCCACUAACACCAACGCGGACCCUUCUGCAAGUUCGACGGAUGCGGCGACACCCGGUACCGCUGCAUUGAAGCCGGAGCCAGCCGUCAAGAGUGUGACCGCUGAGGGCGUGUACAGUUGGGCACUGCACAAGAGGCCCACGUCGAACCCGUACUUCAAGGAGAAUGUGCCUGCUCACUUCGCCAUCACGCUUUACCUGCCAGGAGUCCAAACAAUCCGCGAGGUCGACGUCCGCAUCGGCCACCGACGAGUGGAUUGCUACUACAUUGACGAGGUGACCGACGGCGAGGAGCGCGACGAGGAGGCGGCGGCAUCAGCGGAGAGUGGUGAGCGUGGGCCGGCUUCGGCCAACAAAGGGUCUGGUGCCUCGCCGUUUCUCUCUUUGACCCUUGACUACCCCGUUUCCGAGGACGUGGUGGAGGCCAAGUACGUGCGGAAAACGUCACUGCUGAAGCUGAAGCUAGCGGUGCAGCUGCCCGACGAGACGCAGGCUCCUGCCACUCGCCCGGACCGCGACGUGACAGAGGUCGAGAUGGAGGAGCAGCAGCGCGAACAAGCGGCGCGCGAAGAAGAAUGGGCCGCCGCCAAGGCGAGAAAUGAGCGUCGACAGCAGGAGGAGGCCGCGGUGAUGGCAGAGCGGCGUAGCUACAUUGAAAAUUUGUCCGCUGUGAAAUCGGGCGACAUCCCGCCCAUCAUUCGGGAUGAGGUGGAUCAGAUGCCGCCCGAGCAGCUGCCGGGCAUGCUUUACCGAUUGGAGAGGCGUAUGCGCAAAGGUGACUCCAUCGAUAUGCUGCUGGAAAAGCUGCCGGAGCCGAUGCUGAACGCGCUGGUCGACUACAUUUGCGAGAAACUGUCGCUGGAACCGCGUCAGCGUAAGGCGUCUGCAGCGAAAGGAGAGCACCACACAGCAUCCUCAUCACCUUCACAUGAAGGGAAUCCCACCUCUGCGGUCUCGCCGUUGGCGGCCAAAGCUGCUGAAGCUGAAGACUCGAACAAGCGGCCGUCAACUGAGAGCCAGCCGGCAAUGCAAGUAUUUCACGCGACGACGCAGUCCGAGGCGCUCUUCGGCGUUCAACUUCACAACCGGUACCUCUUUGCACUUGAUUGAUCGACAAGGCGCUGGCGAGGGAGAGGGGGAGAGCACAGUAGCCCUUUCCCUCUCUGUUUGCUUUCCUGCCGGGUGCGCUUGGCGGAGGCCUUUCCUUGUCGUUC